rnacentral:lncRNA from 1 species
AAACUGUGAGAGACACCAUGUCAAGGAAGCAGUGUGAGCUAGCGUCUAAGGAUUGUGAAAACUGAGCAAGUGCCCAGAACUAGAAACUUCCCAGCCCCCUGAACUCAGCCUCAGGGCUUGGUGGAGUUUCAAGAUGCUGAUGAACUUAAGGUCUGGCGCUUGAAAGAAUCAGUGAAGCUUUUCAAGUAGAGGAGUGGUGUUUCCAGUGAAAUCUAUGGCAAGAUGGUUUGGGGUCACUAUCUACAUGAACUGCCAAGUUGGAAAAUCAAAAAUACAUCAAAAUCACUCUUGGGACAUAAGUCACGGAAGUGACUCAUGCACACAAUAAAUACCCAAGAAGCAGGACCAGACGGCAGUUGUGUAUUGGCACGCUCAUCAGUGCUGCAAAAAUUCCCCUUCUGGAUGGCAACAACAAUGCUGUAUCCACAGCAGCAUUUUAAAUCUCACCUCUGAUGUAUCCAUUGUUGUGGGCAUGAGAUGGCAGAAAGUGGGAUAUGGAAAAUGUUGCCGUGCGCCAUUCCGAAUACUACUGUGGCUUCCCUGCAGCAUUACUUUCCAUAUUGGCUGUUUUCCAUUUCAGGAAAGCUUAGGAUGUCCUUGGUAAAUACUGGCUAACCAAGAAAUUUGAAAAAUGAAAGGAGGCUGAGUAAUUGGUCUUGGGUUGAAACGGGGUGAUGCUGCAUAAACUACGUGGUUGACUCUGAAAAGCUGGCUAAAAAGCCAGUCUGCAUUCCUUGUCCUCAUUUCCUUGGAGUAAUGAAGGGUGCUUCUUAGAAGAGGGAUAGAUUCAAGUAUGGGUUGUGAGUCAUUCUUCUUUUCUGUAUGUAAUAGGUCUAACCACAGGGCCUGUUGAGCCCUGCCCUGGUGACCAAGAGCAUUUUCUGACAUGAACAGAGUUAGGCCAUCUUGCCCGUAUGAGCAGAGUUCUUCAGAUGUCCCUUAGGAUUCUAGGUUUCAUACCUUCCCUGCCACUCCCCCACUACCAAAUCCCCUUACCCUAUAGCCUAGCAAUGCAGAGUUGUCCAAUAUAGAACCUCUGUUAAACAUAGCAUCACCCAGGAAAAUGGGAUGAGUGGUUGCAGUCAGUACCACAGUUCUGCAGAAUCAACUUGCUUACCUUAGUACAUUGCCUGUCUACGUGUUUAGCAGAGCUAAAAGCAGGAAUGGACUGUUAAACUACCAUCCUUUUGUGCUCAAGUGCCAUGAAGAGAAGCAAACCUGGAGUUGAAAGUUUUCAAAGAGGGCUUCCAAGUGAGGAACUUGGGCAUGUGAAUCUUUAAUUAUGACUAUAAAAGAAAUUGUGAUUGGAAAUAGAAUUUUUAUGCUAGUGGUUAUGAUUUCAUUGAAAAUAGGAAAUCUUAUUUAAGAACUCUGGUCACAAAACCUCCCCAGAUAGUGACGUAAAUAAGACCCAGUGUAACAACUGUGGCAUUGACAUGUCAGUUCAUGUAGAUUGAGUCACAAUUUGAUUUCGAGAAUGGCCAUAUCCCAUUUUGUCUUACUCCAUGGUGUUCCUGAGCACUUGGAUACAAAUAGAUUCUGUUUCCUAAAAGUAGCCAAAUCUUUGUAGUUCAAGUGAAUAUUCCAGACUAAAAUAUGUGUCUUUUUGAAGGUCCUUAAGCCUUACAUACUUAAUUGUGUAAUUUGGCAAAUAUUUGCUGUUGUGUUGUGUCAAGUCCUGUGAUAGAGACAGUUCCUACCUUUCUGGAGCUUUCACAGUGUGACUCAUUUCAGUACGUAAGUCGGAGCCAGUUUUAAUAGAAUGUUCUCUGGUUGACUUCUGUUGUAAGGAAUAAUUUCAUUUCAUGUCUGGGUCAAUAUGUGAAAGAUUAAAUUAUUAGGGCAAACUGAAAAAAAAAAUCUAGUUUUACCCCCCCACCACCACAUUCCCAAAAUAAUUUAGCAUGGUUUAUAACAAAUAUCAAGCAACAAUAAUUAGAAGCAGAUAAAAGCUCAGCAAGUAGAGGGCAAGAAUAAAAAACCUAACUGUUAGAUCUCAUGCUGUAGGCUCCAGCCAAGUUGUCUCUGAGCUUCCUAAGAGCAAAGAGCCAACUGGCAAGUUAGUAAUCAGGCAAUUGCCAUAAUUUUCUAAUGGAGGAGGGGAGUGGUCAUGUGCAUUCUAAGCUCUUUAAAGCCGAGGAGUAAGCUUUCUUUCCUUCAUGAUCUCAAGUACUCUACUUUGAAGAAAGGAAUGGAACAGAAGGUGUCUGCAUAACUAAAUGGGGAUCUAGAGAAAGUGGAGACUGCCUCUGGAGCAGGGAGGAUUAUGCCACCAUGACUAGAAGGCCCCCUAAUGGAGUUUAUCUGCACUGCAAGGGGCCAGUUGUCUCAGAAUCAUCCUCCGUUGACAUCUCCAUCUCCAGGACAGCUCCACACUAAUCUGUUUCAAAGACAAAAUCCAGUCUAAUCAGUUUGAUGUAUGUUUCUGGGAAUAGAGCCGAAUGUUGUAGCUGAUGGAAUGGAGUCUCAUACCAUUGAUUUUGCAGCUGGACAAGUGCCCUGCCAUGUUACUGCCACUCUUUAAGGCAGAAUAGAGCACAUUGUAUCAUUUAUAGGCCUCUCACAGUGAGAAAUAUGUGGAACUUUGGAAAUCAGAAUCUAAAACUGCAGUCCAAUGGGGUAGCCACUAUUCACAUGUGCUAUUGAGUACCUAAAAUGUGGCUAGACCAAGUUGACAUGUGCUGAAGGGUGAAAAACACCAGGAGUGAAGAAUUAACUUGAAAAAAAUGUAAACUAUCUCAAUUUUAUAUUGAUUACAAAUUAAAUGAUGUUUUGAAUAUAUUGAGUUAAAUGAAAUACAUUUUUUAAUGAUACAUGAUGCGUAUUAUAUUUCUGUUGGACAGUACUGGUCUAAAACAGUUGAUUCACUAUCCAGUAGAGAGAAAGGUAUUGCUGUUUUACCAUAUGUGACCUUCAGGGAAAAGAAGAAUAAAAUUAGCACUUGAAAAUGGAAAAACUUACAGAUAAGCAGCUAUUAUUUGAAGGGCAGAAGGUGCAGGGGUACUCAGCACUACUUAGAAGAUUUGACAUAAAUUCUAUACUCAAGUUGCUAGUACUUCUGGAGAUUUUAAAUGAAAGACUUCAGAGUGUAUUUAGUAAACACUCUGCUAUGCCCACUCUACAAGCAUCUGUGUGUUCAUUAAUCAAGAGCAGGCCAGGUGCAGUGGUUCUCACAGUGGCUCCCACCCAGCACUUUGGGAGGCCAAGGCGGGUAGAUUGCUUGAACUCAGGAGUUUCAGACCAGCCUGGGCAACAUGGCAAGACCCCAUCUCUAAAUAAACGUAAAAAAAAAAAUUUUUUUUUUUUUUUUUUUGAGAUGGAGUCUUGCUCUGUCACCCAGGCUGGAGUGCAGUGGUGGUCUCGGCUCACUGCAACCUCCACCUCCUGGGUCCAAGCAAUUUUCCUGCCUCAGCCUCCCGGUAGCUGGGAUUACAGACGUGUGCCACCAUGUCUGGCUAAUUUUUGUACUUUUAGUAGAGACAGGAUUUCACCAUGUUGGCCAGGCUAGUCUCAAACUCCUGAUCUCAAGUGAUCCACCCACCUCGGCCUCCCAAAGUGCUGGGAUUACAGGUUUGAGCCACCAUGCCUGACCCCAAAUUUUUUUAGUUAAGAGCAAAAGGACUUGGUAUGCUACAUCUCAUCAAAAUGCAACUUCCUUAAUGAAGAACCAUAUAAAGGAUAGUUCUAGUUUCUUUUUUUUUUUUUUUUUUUUGAGACGGAGUCUCGCUCUGUCACCCAGGCUGGAGUGCAGGGGCACGAUCUCGGCUCACUGCAAGCUCCGCCUCCUGGGUUCACGCCAUUCUCCUGCCUCAGCCUCCCAAGUAGCUGGGACUACAGGCGCCCACCUCCACGCCCGGCUAAUUUUUUCUGUUUUUAGUAGAGAUGGGGUUUCAACGUGUUAGCCAGGAUGGUCUCGAUCUCCUGACCUCAUGAUCCACCCGCCUGGGCCUCCCAAAGUGCUGGGAUUACAGGCGUGAGCCACCGUGCCCGGCCAGUUCUAGUUUCUUGAUCCCUGAUCUUAGUGUGUGUGUGUGUGUGUGUGUGUGUGUGUGUAUACUAAAGUGUCUUUCAGGGUUUUGGUUUUUUGAUUUUUUUUUUUUUUAAUGGAAGGGGAGAGAUUGUGGGAAGUGGCACCAUAAAUCUUACCUUGUAUAAAGCACUCUUUUAAAAAAUUACCUUAUGUUAAGCAAAAUGUUCCAUAAAACUCUCCUUUUCCUGUCUUCACUGUGUGCUUUAAAAAACAGGUCUGUGUAAAUUCUCUUGUAGUUUUGUUGCUACUAAUAAUGACAUUUUGUCUUUUUGUGUUUAACAGUAAUUGAAUUCUUCCCUUAGUUUUCACAUUUCUCUUAAGUAGUUGUUCUUAAUAGUGACUGGGGAUGGUGGGGAAAAUGUGUCCCCCUCAGGGUGGACAAACUGGGAAAAGAACCAAAAUCCCACACCCAAUGAAUUGAGACCAAACAUCAUUGACCACACUCCACCUCUCUAAUUUUAACAUUGACCAGAAUAUUCUAAUUUUAUUUAUUUAUUUAUUUAUUUAUUUAAUCUUUUUAGAGAUGAUAGGGUCUCACUCUGUUCCCUAGCCUGGAGUGCAGUGGCACCAUCAUAGCUCACUGCAGCCUUGAACUUCUGAGCAGUCAAUCCUCUUGCUUCAGCCUCCUGAGUAGCUGGGACUACAGGCACGUGCCAACAUGCCCAGCUGAUUUUUUUAAAAAUUUGUAGAGAUGGGUUCUUGCUAUGUUGUUCAGGCUUGUCUCAAACUCCUGGCCUAAAGCGAAUUUCCCACCUGGGUCUACCAAAGUGUUAGGAUUACAGGAGUGAGCAUGCACCCAGCCAAUACUGACUAAUUUUAAAACCUGAAGAACAAUAAGAACCUGAAAACAUUGAGUUAUUAUAUUGGCAAAAGCAAAACAAGCCCCUUUAAGAUGUCUGGGGUGGAAUCUCUGACUGGCUAAUGAGUAUGCCAGGAGUCAGACCCCUUUCAAACUCUGGAUAGCACCACCACUGCCAAGAUACAUUUAAUGCAGUUGAUGCUUUUGGCAAAAGGCAACGACGCAAUUGCUCUCAAAUGUAGCAAAGCCCAAGGUAGACACACAGCAGCAACACAGGGAAAUCAUUGAAAACAGUGUGAGACGGUGCCAGUGUUACCCGAGCUCUGAGAAACCAGAGGUGCUGCCUACCUCUUAGGUUAAAGGCGUCCAAAUGCCCUUCGUUGUCUUAUUUGCAUGGACAUGUUUAAUCCUAUACUUUCUUGCAUAAAAAAAAAGAGUACAGCACAUGCCCUAUGGUUACAAACAGUUUGGAGAUGAAAACCAGCAUGCCAAAUUGCUGGGGCUAUGGGGCCAGUGUAAUGAGGAUGAAGUGGAUGUGGUCUGAUAUGGUCUGGUUCCGUGUCCCCACCCAAAUUUCAUCUUGAAUUAUAAUCCGAAUUGUAAUCCCCAUGUGUUGGAGGGGGGAUCUCAUGGGAAGUGAUUAGAUCAUGGGGGCAGUUUCCCCCAUGCUAUUCUCAUGAUAGUGAGUUCUCACGAGAUCUGAUGGUUUUAUAAGUGUCUGGCAUUUCCCCUGCUGGCACUCAUUCUCUUUCCUGCCGUCCUGUGAAGAGGUGCCUUCCACCAUGAUUGUAAGUUUCCUGAGGCUUCUCCAGCCAUGCAGAACUGGGAGUCAAGUAAACCUCUUUUCUUUAUAAAUUACCCAGUCUUGGAUAUGUCUUUCUUAGCAUGAGAAUGGACUAAAACAAGGUCCAUAGGUUGUUCAGGGAGCACUGCACACCAUCCACAGCCCCUCACUCCACUUCUGAAACAUUUUCCUAAAGAAGCUGAGUCACAGUGAGGGCAAAGGACCAGAGGCCAGCAGGGCAGCAGCGUAGGCUAAGAAUGAAUGUGAAUAGAAAUCAGAGGACCUUGGUGAGAAUUCUGGCUCUGGCAUUGACUAGCACUGUUGCCUUGGUUGCCUUUUUGUUGCUCAUCUGUGAAAUAUGAAUAUUUCAAGUGCUAUCUCAUUGGAAGAUUCUAUGAUAGUACUAUAGAACUGUACAUGGUAGUAACUGUCAUAAUUUGUGGCCUUAUAUUUAUCUUUUUGAAUCACCAUCACCACCAUCAUCAUCAGAUGCACUCUAACUUCACUUGGAGGUAUUUAUUUAUGCCCCCACUUCAUUACAAAAAUGUUUAAGACAUGUUUAAGACAAAGAGAAAAGAUUGAGCUUCCAAUCUAGUUCCAUUUCUAGAUGUUUCCUCUUCCUUUCCUGGUUUAGCAGAGGAAAAACUGGCCUCCUUGUUUCCCCAUUCCCCCCCCACCCCCCCCCCUUUCAACCACAUGAAGAGGCUGUAUUUGAUUACACUUCAGAAGCAGCCUCCGAACCUACUGUGUAGGCAUCAAAUAGGACAGAAGUGAGCUGUGGCAAUGACCAUGUCCUCACAUGACAACAUCUCCCCUGGGGGCUCUAGUGCCUCCUCCCAGGGGACCCACUCCCAGCUUCUGACUGCCUGAUUGGUUUUUCAGCCAGCUGAGCUUCUAGAUUCUCCCUGAGAUCCACCUCUGGCCCUGUAAAGGCCUCCUGGUUGCCUCUGUCCUGAUCCCCGCACUUAGCUCUGGACUGAAGAAUUAUCUGGAGAUAAUGUGCUUUGUCCUCCAGUGUCUGCCUUUGCAGAGCACCAGCCAGGCGUUUUGUUCCAGGCUGCUCCAGCCACCCUGCUGUGGCUUCCACAUGGAUGUCCUGAUCAGGUCCCCCAUCCACCAUCCUCCUGGGCUGUCCUGACCACUCUCGCUGGCCUCUAUGUCUCUCUGGGCUUGGCCUGUCAAGGACCUCGAUUCACUCUGGACUCUGACCCAGAGUUCGCCUGUAAAAUCCCCACACUUGGCUCUUAGCAAGCAGUGCUUACAAAGUUAGGAAAUAUUUGUAAAAUGCUGCCAUGGUAUAAUGUGAAGCGCUCAAACAAGUCAGGGCUAAUGAUGCACUGAGAAUUAUUUCUAAAUUGAGGGCAUAAAGAGUUACAGUUCUUCGAUUUUAAAAAGCAAAGUGACUUUUAAUGCAUCAAAUCUUACUGUAGCCAGAGUACUGUAACUUAGUUUCCAUCAGAAUGGAAAUAAGUAGUUACUGAGCAAGCAGCUGGAUGAGCCCUAUGCUUGAUGAUACAUAUUGAAUUCCAAGGUAGGCCACAGGCCACUCCUCCCGGGGACAGGAUCCAUCAUCACAGCCACCAGGCCCAAUAGUGUGAGCCAUGCUAAGAAAUGAAAUGAUAUAUCAUUUAGGGCACUGGUGCUUUUCUUUUUCUUUUUCUUUUUUUUUUUUUUUUGAGGAGUUUUGCUCUUGUCCCCCAGGCUGGAGUGCAAUGGUGUGAUCUUGGCUCACUGCAACCUCUGCAUCCCAGGUUCAAGCCAUUCUCCUGCCUCAGCCUCCCAAGUAGCUACAAUUACAGGUGCCACCACCACGCGUGGCUAAUCUUUUCUUUUUUUUUUUUUUUUGAGACGGAGUCUCACUCUGUCAGAGUGCAGUGGCACGAUCUCGGCUCACUGCAACCUCUGCCUCCCACUUUCAAGCAAUUCUCUGCGUCAGCCUCCCAAGUAGCUAGGAUUACAGGCGCCUGCCACCACGCCCGGCUAAUUUUUGUAUUUUUAGUAGAGAUGGGGUUUCACCAUGUUGGCCAGGCUUGUCUCAAACUCCUGACCUCGGGUGAUCCGCCCGCCUCGGCCUCCCAAAGUGCUGGGAUUACAGAUGUGAGCCACUGCGCCCAGUGGCACUGGUGCUUUUCAUGUCUGCAGUUUCAACCCCUUACCCCCAACCCCAAGGUCAUGUGUAAUCCUGGUAUGAAUAAAUGUAAAUGGUGCUUGCUGGCCUUAGGUGUGUGAGAGUCAGAAGCAUCCAUUUCACCACUCAGGCCUAAGGUUCUCUAUGUCUCACUACCCACCCUGCACCCCAGACCUCACACAGCAACACUCAUGAGAGCCACCAAAAUUGUAACGAAAAUAUAAUGAUGACAAUGAGGACAAGUCUUUCCUAUAACUGAGAAAGUUCUGUGCUAAACAUGUUACCUAUGGAAAUUAUUUCAGUGCAUUCUCUGGAUUUCACUGAGAAGUAGCUACCAUUAUUAUUCUUAUCUCCAUCUUAUGGAACAGGAAAUGGUGACAUGGAGCUUCAGUAACUGGCCAACAUCAUCAGACAGCAUGGCCCCGGGUCCUGAGCUUUGUCCCUCAUGAGUGUCGAGAGUGUUCUGUGUUUCUGCUGGGCACGGUGGCACAUGCCUGUAGUCCCAGUCGCUCAGGAGGCUGAGGUGGGAGGAUUGCUUGAACCCAGGAGUUUGAGCAGAGCCUGAGCAACAUAGCAAGAAGCCAUCUAAAAAAAAAAAAAAAAAAAAAAAAAAAUCCAAAUAUCUUGCAGAGUAAAAACAUAAAACAAAAAAAUUAAAAGAUUUCUAUCACUCUGGAAUCCUCAUUCGGGAUACAGCAAAAAAAAAAAGAUUACUUAUUGCAAUAGAGAAAACACCAAGUGUCUCUCAUACUGAAUGUUUUUCCAGAUUGCAGGCACUGCAGUGAGCUUUCGUGUUUUCCAAAUGCGAUCAUUUCCUUUGUGUCAGUAAGAGCCAAAUUAUCCUAGUAAACAGGAGUUGCUAGUGGACUUUUUUUUUCUUUUUGAGCUAAAUACUUUAGUGUAAUAUAAUGUGAACUGCAUAACUCUUAAAUGGCUAAUCUGUUCUUCAGUUUCGUGCAAUUAAAGACUAGAAGUGCAAGUCAAAUGCCCUAAUAAAAGAUAAUCUACCCAUCAGGUACCCAACUUACAGUAUUUUAGAGGCUAGGUAAUCUCUAGAUGAAAGAAUAAGUUUCUAAAUCAUUUGGAAUUAGGAACACAGUUUUUUCUCAUACAUGCAUAUUGCCUCAAAAGAAGGAGACUCCCAGGCUAGCUCAUGGUUUUCUAACCUCAUUAAUUGAGCUUACAACAUUCUUAUUUCCUCUCUCCCAGUAUUUCAAAGCUUCUGUAGACCAAGGGGUUCUGGGUCACGACAGCAGAAGUCAGGAACAGCUCCCCCAACCCCAUGGUCCCACCCCACUGUGGCCUCAGAGAUGAGAAGGUGAAGCUCUGAGUCCCAGGAGGGCAGGGACCUUGCUUCAACUCAGUGCCUGGGGUAGAGAAUGUGGUGCACUGAAGCGGUAUGUGGGAAGGGCUGGUGAAUGAGGGGGUUUUUGAUCUACAACUUCCACCACUCACUGCCACAAUUUCCACUCUCCCCAUCCUGUUUCUAGCCUAGGGGUGAGGAAUCCCCUGGCUCUGAGCUGUGGCCUCAGAGAGGGGCUUUGCAGGUGGUGACUUUGAAUUGAGGAGGAAGGAAAAAGGCUCAAAGAAAUGAUGUUUUCUUGGUAGAAACCUGAUUGUGGGGAUUCCAUGUCAAAGAGCACGGCCCAGUCUCUUCACAGGUUGGGAAUCUGCAGGUCUAAUUACUAGGGCCAGUGUGCUAUUAAGUGGUUUCUGUCACCAUCACCAUUGAUCCGCAACAUGUCACUUUUGGAGUUGUCGGGCAUCAAACGACCAACAUUUUAAACAUACUUGUUUAAAUAAACACACUUGCAAAACCAGAUAUGUUCUUGCUGCCAAGUAUGAACGACACAUGGUUGAUGGCAGAGUUCAGACAACAAUUAUUUGGAGCAGACCAGGAGCAAAGACAGGUACUUGGGGUAGGAGGUACAAGCUUUAAGGCAAAGUAGAGGUAGGAGGUACAGGCUUUAAAAUCCAGACAAGCUUUAAGUCAGUGCCUGUCCAUCUCCCCUCAACCCAUCCCCACUCUCAUCUGCUUCUUUGUUGAAGAAUUCCUGUGUACAUUGAUGGCCUCCUAACCCACGUACCUUGUAGACUCUCAAGGCUAGGCAUACUGUUCUUGGGGAAGAAUUGCGCUGCUCUCCCCCAGGCAGCUAAGGAAAGACUUGCCAUUCUCCCCCACCCCCAAGCUGUCUCUUUCCUCUCUCCUUAUCCCAGUUCUGCAGAAAAGGGAAUCAGGUCAAUGUAGUUCUUUAAUGUGGACAUCAUCUGUAGCAUUUACAUGCUUGACACCCAGGAAAUAACUAUUUUCACUUCCCCACAUCUCCCAGUGUUCAACUUUGCACCACUGUCUCUGCCUUGCCUGGAACAGUCUGCCCUCUCCGUCACCUGCCUAGCUUGCUCUACAGGGAUUUCUUAAUUGUGCCUCUUUUUAGGAAGGCUUCCCUAACCCACAAGACCACAUUGGUAUCCCUCCCAUAUGUCCCCAUUGCUCUGCUCUUCCCUAUCAAAGCUCCUAUCACUCUGUAUUGUUGAGUAUUGUUAACUACUUACUUAUUGACCAGACUGUAAGCUCCAUAGAGUUAACACCUUGUGUGAUCAAAUAACUCUUGUAUCCCCACUGUCUAAGACAGUUCUGGUCACAUAACAGGUUCUAGAUGAAUGACUGAUGAAGACACAACAGCACGGUGGUGAGGCCAUUGAAUGCUUCUAAGACUGCACUUGGCAACAUCACAAGCUGCAGAAUCCCGUGCCACAUAUGACCUGCUGUUCACCGGUUCUUGCCAGGAUCACACCUGAGAAGAGGAAGAUAAUGGAGAUGGAAGACUUGGGAUGCUCAGGGUCCUGCUAGCCUUCAAACUGCAGGACUCUGAGCAUCCCAAGUCUUACCAUGAGUUGCUAAAAGAGAACCAGACCCAUGUUUAUCCCUUUGAAAGAAACCUGAACCAAGCCAUUCCUCUGGACUGUUCUUCCAUCCACUGGACCAAUAACUCAUAGUUUGAAGGAUUUUUACUUAAUGGAAGUGAGAAAACAGCCAGAUCAAAAGAAUUUCCAGGAGCCAAGACAGAAAACAUGCAGAGCAUUAGACAGCCUAAAUGGAGCUGGCUAGAUAUGACUCCAGUUGUGACCAAGCCAUAGUGCCCCCUAAGCUGGGUGAAGAGAACGGUGCCCAUCAGGCCAGAGAGAGCUGAAAGGGCCGUGAGGAUGCUAAGCAGGGAGUCUCCAACCCCCUGGGUACAGGCAUAGCCAGUGAUGAUGCCGCCAGACCCCAGAACUGUCAUGUAGAGGAAGACCAAGCACAAGCCAGCUAAGAAGACCAUCUGCCUGCAGUAGGCUUCCCAUCCCUCAUGGCACAUGCAGAGCAGCCUUUGCAUGUUUUAAAGGUGAAAAGGAGGCCGGGCGCAGUGGCUCAUGCCUAUAAUCCCAGCACUUUGGGAGGCCGAGGCAGACGGAUCACGAGGUCAGGAGAUCGAGGCCAUCCUGGCUAACACGGUGAAACCCCGUCUCUACUAAAAAUACAAAACAUCAGCCGGGCAUGGUGGUGGGCGCCUGUAUUCCCAGCUACUCGAGAGGCUGAGGCGGGACAAUGGCGUGAAUCCGGGAGGCGGAGCUUGCAGUGAGUCGAGAUCGCGCCACUGCACUCCAGCCUGGGUGACAGAGCGAGACUCUGUCUCAAAAAAAAAAAAAAAAAAAAAAGGUGAAAAGGAAAACCUGUGUUUGUGGUCUGUUCUUCAAGGUUAAACUUGUGGUCCUUUGGCUUUUCCAAAGGCCUAGGCUUGUAGACGAAUCCAUCAUUAAUUUCCCAACAGUCCAUUUCACCCAAAACAAAAUCCAAACAAGCUUUAAGUCAGUGCCUGUUCAUCUCCCCUCAACCAUCCCCAGUCUCAUCUGCUUCUUUGUUGGACAACUCCUGUGUACACUGAUGGCCUCCUACCCAAAGCACCUGUGUCUCUUUGCCUGAAGAUCCCUCUCCAGCCAUAGGAACAUGAGGGGUGGGCUGUAAGUUGCCCUGAGAACAGCUCUCAACCAAGGACAGACAAGAGUUGCUGGAUAAACAUCCUAGUUUCCUUGGGCCUUGGUGGGACAGUUCUGAAGUAUGUCCUACACAGUCUCUCAUAAGGUCCCCAGAAGGACUGACCCCAGUGGCCAUCAGCGGUAACCUAUAUAUUAACAUAAGUUUUAUUGGCUUUUCUCCUUCUCUGUCUCACUUCCCAUUCUCUCACCAUGCUUCCUGGGAUCAUCUUCCAAAUAUUAAUAGAUUACUUUUCACCCCCAAAUCUUUGUCUCCAGGAUUACUUUUGAGAGAACCCAAACUAAAACAUAGUCAAGCCAGGAAGAUGACACUGAAAGGAGGAGGAAGAGGAGGACACAUUUUGUAGAAGAUAAAAUGCCACAUGCUUGGAACUCAGUCAUGAGCCCCAGGAAACAGUGAUAGAUACUUCCUUUGGUUAUUCUGAAGAAACAGAUACUUAUGUGAAAAAAAGCUAAACACCUUUCAGUCUUCCAGGAUAGAAUAGACAAUGAUUAUAAGCAGAUUAAAAAUAUAUAACCGCUGGGCACAGUGGCUCACGCCAGUAAUCCCAACACUUUGGGAGGCCGAGGUGGGUGGAUCACAAGGUCAGGAGUUCGAGACCAGCCUGACCAACAUGGUGAAACCCUGUCUCUACUAAAAAUACAAAAAUUAGCCCGGCGUGGUGGCAUGUGCCUGUAAUCCCAGCUACUCGGGAGGCUGAGGCAGGAGAAUCGCUUGAACCCAGGAGGCGGAGGUUGCAGUGAGCCGAGAUCAUGCCACUGCACUCCAGCCUGGGUGACAGAGUGAGACUCUGUGUCAAAAUAAAUAAAUAAAAUAAAAUAUAUACACACACCAUUGUGAGGGGUAUUUAGUGCAAAUUAAGACAAAUCCUGCAAAGGACUAGAGGAACCAAAUAGGACUGUGGAGGGAGGACAAAGGGGCAGGUGGGCCAGAUCCAUUGUAGACCAAGAAGUGUGGGAAGGAUUAGGCUCUUAAUUGCAGAAAUGAAUGUAUUGCCAGAACAGUUUUUAAAAAGGUCACAAUGACAACAAUGAACAAAAUAGCUAAUGUUGACUUAAGUUUUACUAUAUGCCAGGGAGUAAAAUAGGGCUUUACAUAAACUAUCUUAUUUAAUUGUCACAACAUCCCUAUGAUAUCACUUCUUUUGUUGUCCUUAAUUUACAGAUAGUGAGACAGAAUGUGAAUAAACUAACCUUGCAUGGUCACACAGGUAAUAGCCACAGAGGGGAAGGAUAUAGUUUACUCUAUCUAUCCAUCUAUCUGCUUGCAUAUCUAUCUAUUCAUCCCUCAUCUAAAUAUGUAUCUCUACUUAUCUAUCUCUCCAAAUACAUAUAUUUUAUUUAUGCAGUGAGAUCUGGUGGACUUUAAUUGCAAAAUAACUUGAGAGAAAAGAGAAUUAAUUAUAAGAAGUACAGAAAAAGAAACAGAGCAGAAGCAAUUCCUGGACUGUGCUGUACCAGGCAGAUGGGCAAUAUAGUCAGUAUGCAGUGUUGGCUCUUUCUUUGGGAGAAUGAGGUCAUAUCUACUGGCAAGGCCCCCUUCCCUUUAUUCCCACUAUACUGCUUGGGAAUUUCUGAUUUAAAAAAAAUACUGUUGAUAACAGAAAUGACCAAUUCAUCAUAUUGUCUUGACCAAAGAGCAGCUCAUACUGUGACACACUUGCCUCUCUAGUAUCUCUGGGGAGGAUGUUCGUAAGUGAGAUUGGAGGAGUAAUCGCCCCCCAGGACCGUGGGAUAGGUUGUGCACGUUGUAUACUGCACAGUCCCAUGGGGGUGUUAGUCUCUCUGAAUGGAGUCCCCAGAGUUAUGCAGUGCACAACCUGUGUAUAAGGCAGCCCUGCCUGCCCCCACCAAUAAGAUCAGCCAUAUGAACUGCAUGACCAAUGGCACAGCUGGAGCCCUCUCAUUUGUCACUGUUUCUAGGCACAUUUGCAGAUAAAAUGUUGAGAUUGUGAUCAGAUUAUGAUCAGAACUUUCAAGAGUUCUGGAAAGAAGAGUUCUGGAAAGAAACACUGACAUAAAGGAGAAGAAAAGAACAGGAACUCCCUCUGAGUUUGCAUAACUUUCAAUGUUCACAGCCUCCUGUUGCCUUUCUAGGAGGUGCCCUACUGUGUAUUGCUGGGGUCGUAUAGCCAAUUGGCGAACUAGCUGAUAAACCCUGGACAGAAAUAGAAACUACAAGAAGUGAAACAAAGUUCCAUCCAAGAAUGAAACAACAACUGAUCACGUGAGAUGCCCAUGUCAUCACUUGACCCACAGACAGGGGAGCAAAUAUAUUGAUGAUCUGGUCCUCCUGCCGGACUGUUGGUAUUCAUCCCUGUAAGUGAGAGGAAGGAAACAUUGCAACUUAAUGGGUGAGUCCUUCCUUCUGGUGAAUUUAACAUCAUGCAUUUGCUAGAUUUGCUAGCCAUGCAGUUAUGGUGAAAACAGGAAAGAUCCCUUUGGGUUUAACUAUAGAUUAGCCAUAGGAUUUGCAACCAGGAAAAGACCUUCAAGAUCAAUUCUAUUGGAACAUGGACAAUUAACAUAAAUAAACUGAGAAACAGACAGACUGUGUUACUUGUAGCUAAUUAUUUUAACUCCCAUCUCAGCACUCUUUCCCAACACAACCCAUUAUCUUAACAACUAUAAUAGUACUAACAGCCAUUAUUAUAACCAACAUGUUUGUCGGGGAGAAAGGUGACAAGAGGAGGGUAGAGGACAGAAUUAGUUGAACACUUACUCUGUGCCAGGCGAUAGUUUUAAGCUUUCUACAUCUAUUCAUUUCAAUCCUCACAACAACUCUUACAGGUCAAUAGUGUUUCCCUUUCACAAGUUAGGAAACUGAGGCACAGAUAGGUGAUUUUAUUUGUUCAAAGUCACAGAGAGGGCACAUGGCUGAGCUGAGAUUCAAACCCAAGCAGUGUGACUAUGAAGCUUAUUAUCUUAACUAUUCCACCAUCAUCGAAGGAUAUAUUUACAAGAUUUUUUAAUUGUAAUAAAUUCUGUGCUUUAUCUUUUUUUAAAAAAAAAAUUUAAUUAACAAAGAAUAGGAAGACUUUCUAUUCUUCACCCGGAGAUGGACGAUACCAUGUUACUUGGCUUUUAUCCACAUAGCUGUCUUAUUUUAGGUGCUGUUAUUUGAACCAGAGUACAUCCAAA